rnacentral:rRNA from 1 species
CAAUAGCGUAUAUUUAAGUUGUUGCAGUUAAAAAGCUCGUAGUUGGAUUUCGGGUUGGCUUCAGCGGUCUCGCUUUGCGUUUGUACUGCCGCAGCCUUCCUUCUUGCUGGGGACGGUCCUCCGGGCUUCAUUGCUUGGGGUCUGGAAUCAGCGACGUCACUUUGAGUAAAUUAGAGUGUUCAAAGCAAGCCUACGCUCUGAAUAUAAUAGCAUGGGAUAACACGACAGGACUCUGGCCUAUCGUGUUGGUCUGUAGGACCAGAGUAAUGAUUAAGAGGGACAGUCGGGGGCAUUCGUAUUCCGUUGUCAGAGGUGAAAUUCUUGGAUUUACGGAGGACGAACAUCUGCGAAAGCAUUUGCCAAGGAUGUUUUCAUUGA